UACGAAGGGGGCUAGCGUUGUUCGGAAUCACUGGGCGUAAAGCGCACGUAGGCGGAUCUUUAAGUCAGGGGUGAAAUCCCGAGGCUCAACCUCGGAACUGCCUUUGAUACUGGGGAUCUCGAGUCCGGGAGAGGUGAGUGGAACUGCGAGUGUAGAGGUGAAAUUCGUAGAUAUUCGCAAGAACACCAGUGGCGAAGGCGGCGACCUGGGUCGAUACUGACGCUGAGGUGCGAAAGCGUGGGGAGCAAACAGG
rnacentral:rRNA from 1 species